GCUCCUAUAGCUCAACGGAUAGAGCAGAGGUUUCCUAAACCUCCGAUGUAGGUUCGAUUCCUGCUAGGAGCA
rnacentral:tRNA from 1 species